rnacentral:lncRNA from 1 species
CCGGUUCCUGACCGGUCCAUACCGGUUCCUGACCGGUCCGUGCCGGUUCCUGACCGGUCCAUACCGGUUCCUGACCGGUCCAUACCGGUUCCUGACCGGUCCGUACCGGUUCCUGACCGGUCCCUACCGGUUCCUGACCGGUCCAUACCGGUUCCUGACCGGUCCGUACCGGUUUCUGACCCGUUAGGUGGCGGGAGGCGGCGCAGCGGCAGCAGCAGCGCUACGGGCCCAGCCUGCGCCUGCUGCGCGGCAUCUACGAGCGCCAGUGAGGCCACGCCCACCCCGGGAGCCACGCCCAGAUUGACCACGCCCAUCCCGGAAAGAGCCACGCCUACCCCGAGAGCCACGCCCUCAUUGACCACGCCCACCCUGAAAAGCCACGCCCAGAUUGACCACGCCCAUCCCAGCCACGACCACCCUGAAAAGAGCCACGCCCACCCUGAACAGAGCCACGCCCACCCUGAAAAGACCCACAUUGGCCACGCCCACCCCGAAAAGAGCCCCAUUGACCACAUUGUGGCCACGCCCAUCCCGACCACACCCACACCCCAUGGCCACGCCCACCCCGACCACACCCACAUUGACCACACCCAUCAUGGCCACACCCCCGGCCCCGCCCCCUCCCCAAUAAAGCCAUCUUUGGGCGUGGGCGUGGCCAGCGCCUUUAUUUGGGAAAGGGGGCGGGGCUUCCGAGGGCUGGGGGUGACGUCAUCGCUCCUGUGGGGGAAACGGGGAGGGGUUAAAGGAGGGGAGGCCACGCCCCCUUUGGGGCUGGCCACGCCCACUUUGGGGGUGCCCUCCAAUGGCUCCGCCCACUCUGAAGGCCACGCCCCUUCCUGGUUGGCCACGCCCCUACUUUACCAUUUGCUGGCAUAAGCCCCGCCCACAACCUCUCCCAUUUUCCCCCAAUUUUCCCUAAUUUUUCUCUAAAUUCCCUCCAAUUUUUUUCCCAAUUUUUCCCCAGUUUUUGUCACAAUUUCCCCCAUUUUUCCCCCAAUUUUCCCUGAAUUUUCCCCAAUUUUUCCCCAAAUUUUCACCCAAUUUUCCCCAAAUUUUCACCCAAUAUUUCCCCAAUUCUUCUCCAAUUUUUUUCUAAAUUUCCCACAUUUUUUCCCCAAUUUUUGUCUAAAUUUCACUCAUUUUUCCCCAAUUUUUAUCCAAUUUUUCCCAAUUUUCCCCCCAAUUUUCCCUCAAUUUUUGUCUAAAUUUCCCCCAUUUUUCCUCAAAUUUUCCUCAAUUUUCCCCCAAUUUUUCUCCAAUUUUUCCCCGAAUUUUCCCCAAUUUCUCAUUGGCUGGUGCAGGCCCCACCCCCCCAUUUCAGGCUCUGCCAUUGGCUGGGUGAGGCUCCCCCCCUUCUCAUUGGCUCCUUCCAGCCCCCCCCCCCCAAAGCCUCUCCCAUUGGUUGCUUUAAGCCCCACCCCCUCAGGGCUCUUCCAUUGGUUGUUUUAAAUCCCCCCCAACAUUUCCUCCUCCGCCAUUGGCUGCUUCAGGCCACGCCCCCCAUUUCAGGAUUUCCCAUUGGCUGCUUUAAGCCCCACCUCCUCUCACUGAUUCCCUAUUGGUUCUCCCAAGCCCCGCCCCCAAAUCCACUCAUG